GAUACACGAAGAAGACUGAGGUCAUCACCCAGAAGUAGUUGCGACACUCCAGGCGGAAGCCGCAUUCAUUAAAUUUGUUCCUGUUUGAGUUUCCACGUUUGCGUUGAGGAUUUAAGAAGUAUUUUUUUUGUUUUGUUUUCCCCCCUAAAGGUUGACAAAUUUAACCAAUCCCCACAGGUACCCGCGGCCUUGGUGACAUGGUGGGCUAUGACCCCAGGGUACAGGGGGUACCGCUCAGUGCCCAGGAGGCAGCCCUGGCGGGGUCGGCUGCCGGCACGGUCACCCGAGCCCUCAUCAGCCCUUUGGACGUCAUCAAAAUCCGAUUUCAGCUGCAGAUUGAGUGUCUGUCCUCUGCAAGGCCAGGAGGGAAGUAUUGGGGCUUAUUUCAGGCGGCACGUUGUAUUCACGCAGAAGAGGGCCUUGCUGCUUUUUGGAAGGGUCACGUCCCCGCGCAACUGCUCUCAAUCUGCUAUGGAGCAGUGCAGUUCGCCACGUUCGAGUGUCUGACCAAGGCGGUCCACGACACGACGUCCUUUGACAGCCAGACGUCAGGGGUGCACUUCCUGUGCGGGGGCUCGGCCGCCUGCUCGGCCGCGGUGGUGUGUCAGCCUCUGGACACGCUCAGGACGCGCUUUGCCGCUCAGGGCGAGCCCAAGUUGUACAGGAACCUGGCGCACGGCGUGUGUACGAUGUGGCGCUCGGAGGGAGCGCUGACGUUCUAUCGCGGCCUCUCGCCGAUGCUCGUUGCCGUGUUUCCUUACGCCGGACUGCAGUUCUUCUUCUACAACGUCUUCAGAAGGCAGCUGGCGCCGCCUCCUUCUGCUGGGAAAUCGGGAGAAAACCUACGGAGUCUGGUAUGUGGCAGCGGAGCCGGAAUGAUCAGCAAAACAAUCACGUAUCCAUUUGACCUCUUCAAGAAGAGACUGCAAGUCGGUGGCUUUGAGGAUGCCAGAGUCCACUUUGGACAGGUUACGAAAGGUAGCGUUGUCACCUCGGAAUCCUUGCAGUGGCGUUCGGGGACCUCAUCGUAGGCGAUGUCCACAAAACACACCUCGGUUGGCUCAUCUCUGGGCUCGCUGCAAAAUAUCUGCAUGGGAAAGGCACAAUUCAAACAAUUGAAAGGCUUCUAUGGUCCAUGAUAUCAUCAUCUAUGGUCCAUGAUAUCAUCAGAAGAGUCAAGAGAAUCACGUAAGCAACAAGCCCGUGACCUUCGAUCCCUCUGGCGCCACUGCAUUAAAGCACAUCCAGGUUUUGGAGCAAAAUAUGCUGCCAUCCAAGCAAGGUCUUUUUCAGGGGGGCGUCCUUGCUUGUUUCAGCGAGACAAUGCCAAGCCACGUUGCGCAUGUGUUAUAUCAGCGUGUCUUCAGGGUAAAAAAGUGUGAGUACUAGACUGACUAGACCUGUCUCCCAUUGAAAAUGUGUGGCGCGUGAUGAUGCGUAAAAUGUGACAAAUAAGACCCCAGCCUUUUGAGCAACUUAAAUUGUACAUCAAGCAAGAAUGGCACCGACAAAGCUUCAACAAUUAGUGUCCUCAGGUGUUGUUCAUAAAAAAGAAAGGUGAUCUAACAUGUCCAUGUCCUUACUUUUUUGGAACUCAAAUUCAAAAUGAGAGUAUAUUUGCUAAAAAAAAAAACAACUAUAUAUAAAGUUUCUCAGUUUGAACAUUAAAUAGCUUGUCUUUGUAGUGUAUUGAAUAUAGGUUGAGAAGGCUCUGCAAAUCAUUGUAUUCAGUUUUUAUUUAUGUGUAGUAAGGAUGAAAGCGCAGCGAGAAAGCUGAAUUUACUAAUUAAAUAAACAUGACAGUGACGUCGCUUGUACAGAUUUUGGUGGGCUAGGUGUCAUCAGGCGGGGGCUGGCAAGUGCAAACUUGAGAAUUGAGGAGGAGGGCGCAAACAAACACGCUCGGUGAAGUGUUCUCCAACAGCCUCAACCAUCUGUGACAUUGCAAGAAAGACGGGCUGCAACGCCCCCCUUUCGCCUCUGGGUGGUGCUGUGGCACAUAUUUGUUUUAUUGCGUAAUGUGCCUUUAAAACGACACCAAUGCCACACAAAAAGCAACAUAUAGUACUGUACUGUAUCAGUCAUAAGCAGAGGUGGCAAAAGUACUCACAUUCUGUACUUAAGUAGAAAUACCGACAGUUGUGCAGAAAGUGAUUCAACUCCCUUAUGGAAGCAAAAAUAAAAAAAAGUGCUGACUCUAAAAUGUAUUCAAGUUGUUGUUAAAGUAGUAUUUGAACAUAGGUACUUUGCACUACUCUUAAUAAGACUUGGUAAAAGGCUUAUUAGAUACAAAGAAAAGAGUAUCAUGUAUUUUUAUUCAAAUUAUAAUAAUAAUAAUAUCUUCUUUUUUUGUACUGGGCCCGUGAAUAAUUAAGUAAGAAGCUACCAUUCCUCACUUUUUCCAUAUCCCAAUUUAUGAUUAAAUUAGGGCCCCCAUCCUUUUUUUUUUUUAAAUUUUUAUUUAUUUAUUUAUUUUUUCCUCCACAGCGUGGCCCAUUUCUUGAUAUUGAUAUUUCAACACAGUAUUAGUAAAGUCCUCUAAGCCACUUUUACAGAGCGGGAUAGCAGAGAAUACGUAACAAAAACACAAUAAAAAGAGAUAAUCAUGCAAGCAUUAUGCAACUUUCACUCACGUUAUCGUUGCUCCCUUUGUUGUCCUCGUAUUUGGUCUCGAUGUGGAUGGAGAACUUGGGCAGGAAGGAACACUAUCGAGACAAACACACUCACAUUUUUACACCAAGCACCACAACAA